AGGGUGGAGAGAGGCAGGCGAAGAGGGGCACCAUGGGACAGCAAUUCAGUCAGUGGGCUUGAGGUUCAAGGAAUGUGGCCAUGAAUGUCAGCGGAUCCCACCACGGGGAAAAAUGAUGGUUGAGUGUUUUCAGCGUUUGGGAGCGCUUGAAUCAUCUCUCUAGGCAGCGGUGGAGCAGGUGUAAAGAGCCUGGUGUUACUCACCUGUCAUACUGGAUGUUCGUCAGAAGGAGGCGUAGCUCUUCCAGGUUCAGAGAAGACGGGGGGGAUGCAGAGGCGCUGCAGCCCGGAACGGAGCUUCCACCGGGGGCUUGGAAAAGUCAGGAAAUCCCCUGGAUUGUCUUUGGCCUACUGAAGU